UCUCCGUAGGUGAACCUGCGGAGGGAUCAUUACAGAGUUCUCGCCCUCGCGGGUAGAUCUCCCACCCACUGUUAUCGUUACUGUGUUGCCUUGGCGGGCCGCCGGGCCCCGCUCGGCCGCCGGCUCCGGCUGCGCGCGCCCGCCAGAGGCCCAGCAAACUCUGAAUGUUAGUGUCGUCUGAGUACUAUACAAUAGUUAAAACUUUCAACAACGGAUCUCUUGGUUCUG
rnacentral:misc_RNA from 1 species